AUUGAACGCUGGCGGCAUGCCUUACACAUGCAAGUCGAACGGUAACAGGUCUUCGGAUGCUGACGAGUGGCGAACGGGUGAGUAAUACAUCGGAACGUGCCUAGUAGUGGGGGAUAACUACUCGAAAGAGUGGCUAAUACCGCAUGAGAUCUACGGAUGAAAGCAGGGGAUCGCAAGACCUUGUGCUACUAGAGCGGCCGAUGGCAGAUUAGGUAGUUGGUGGGAUAAAAGCUUACCAAGCCGACGAUCUGUAGCUGGUCUGAGAGGACGAUCAGCCACACUGGGACUGAGACACGGCCCAGACUCCUACGGGAGGCAGCAGUGGGGAAUUUUGACAAUGGGCGCAAGCCUGAUCCAGCAAUGCCGCGUGCAGGAUGAAGGCUUUCGGGUUGUAAACUGCUUUUGUACGGAACGAAAAGCCCUGGGUUAAUACCCUGGGGUCAUGACGGUACCGUAAGAAUAAGCACCGGCUAACUACGUGCCAGCCGCCGCCGUAAAAC
rnacentral:rRNA from 1 species